rnacentral:rRNA from 1 species
CGGCGGACGGGUGAGUAAUGUCUGGGAAACUGCCUGAUGGAGGGGGAUAACUACUGGAAACGGUAGCUAAUACCGCAUAAUGUCGCAAGACCAAAGAGGGGGCCUUCGGGCCUCUUGCCAUCAGAUGUGCCCAGAUGGGAUUAGCUAGUAGGUGGGGUAACGGCUCACCUAGGCGACGAUCCCUAGCUGGUCUGAGAGGAUGACCAGCCACACUGGAACUGAGACACGGUCCAG